AGUCAAAUGUGCAAAACUCAAACUGCUGUCUGCACUGCAGCAGUUCACGUGGACCAAAACUCUAGUUCGUUUUUCAUUGCUAGAACACGGUUUUCAAAAUGCGACACUCUUAGCCCAUGGCUUUAACCACAACGGGCACAACAUUGCGGAUUCACACCACUUUGUUAAAAUGCUAACACACUGCUAUCAAAACUAUUAACAACACAUUCAUAACAAAAUAGAUUUCAGUCUGGUGCCAAUCAAAC